UAGGGAAUCUUCGGCAAUGGACGAAAGUCUGACCGAGCAACGCCGCGUGAGUGAAGAAGGUUUUCGGAUCGUAAAACUCUGUUGUUAGAGAAGAACAAGGACGUUAGUAACUGAACGUCCCCUGACGGUAUCUAACCAGAAAGCCACGGCUAACUACGUGCCAGCAGCCGCGGUAAUACGUAGGUGGCAAGCGUUGUCCGGAUUUAUUGGGCGUAAAGCGAGCGCAGGCGGUUUCUUAAGUCUGAUGUGAAAGCCCCCGGCUCAACCGGGGAGGGUCAUUGGAAACUGGGAGACUUGAGUGCAGAAGAGGAGAGUGGAAUUCCAUGUGUAGCGGUGAAAUGCGUAGAUAUAUGGAGGAACACCAGUGGCGAAGGCGGCUCUCUGGUCUGUAACUGACGCUGAGGCUCAAAGCGUGGGGAGCAAACAGG
rnacentral:rRNA from 1 species